rnacentral:tRNA from 1 species
GCAGAGAUGGCUCAGUGGUUAAGAGCAAUGGCUGCUCUUCCAGAAGACCUGGGUUCAAUUCCCAGCACUUGCA